AACGAACGCUGGCGGCAUGCCUAACACAUGCAAGUCGAACGAAGGCUUCGGCCUUAGUGGCGCACGGGUGAGUAACGCGUGGGAAACUGCCUAUUGGUGGGGAAUAACGACGGGAAACUGUCGCUAAUACCGCAUAAGCCCUUCGGGGGAAAGAUUUAUCGCCGAUAGAUGUGCCCGCGUCCGAUUAGCUAGUUGGUGAGGUAAUGGCUCACCAAGGCGACGAUCGGUAGCUGGUCUGAGAGGAUGAUCAGCCACACUGGGACUGAGACACGGCCCAGACUCCUACGGGAGGCAGCAGUGGGGAAUAUUGGACAAUGGGCGAAAGCCUGAUCCAGCAAUGCCGCGUGAGUGAUGAAGGCCUUAGGGUUGUAAAGCUCUUUCGGGUGGGACGAUGAUGACGGUACCACCAGAAGAAGCCCCGGCUAACUUCGUGCCAGCCGCCGCGGUAA
rnacentral:rRNA from 1 species